AGAGUUUGAUCCUGGCUCAGAUUGAACGCUGGCGGUAUGCUUAACACAUGCAAGUCGAACGCGAACGAGUUCUUCGGAACUUUAUUAGAGUGGCGGACGGGUGAGUAACGCGUAGGAAUCUGCCUAGUAGUGGGGGACAACCUGGUGAAAACCAGGCUAAUACCGCAUACGCCCUACGGGGGAAAGGAUGGGAUUUUUGGACCAUUCGCUAUUAGAUGGGCCUGCGUCGGAUUAGCUAGUUGGUGGGGUAAUGGCUCACCAAGGCGACGAUCCGUAGCUGGUUUGAGAUAAUGACCAGCCAUAUUGGGAUUGAGAUACGGCCCAGACUCCUACGGGAGGCAGCAGUGGGGAAUAUUGGACAAUGGGGGUAACCCUGAUCCAGCAAUACCGCGUGUGUGAAGAAGGCCUGAGGGUUGUAAAGCACUUUCAAUUGUGAAGAAAAGCAUAAGGUUAAUAGCCUUGUGUCUUGACGUUAACUUUAGAAGAAGCACCGGUUAACUCCGUGCCAGUAGUUGUGGUAAUACGGAGGGUGCAAGCGUUAAUCGGAAUUACUGGGCGUAAAGCGCGCGUAGGCGGUUUGGUCAGUCAGAUGUGAAAGUCCCGGGUUUAAUUUGGGAACUGCAUUUGAUACUGCUGAGCUAGAGUAAGGUAGAGGUAAGUGGAAUUUUAGGUGUAGUGGUGAAAUGUGUAGAGAUUUGGAGGAAUAUUAGUGGUGAAGGUGGCUUACUGGACCAAUACUGACGCUGAGGUGCGAAAGCGUGGGUAGUAAACAGGAUUAGAUAUCCUGGUAGUCCACGCUGUAAAUGAUGUCAACUAGCCGUUGGGUCCAUUUAAGGAUUUAGUGGCGCAGUUAAUGUGAUAAGUUGACCGCCUGGGGAGUACGGCCGCAAGGUUAAAACUCAAAGGAAUUGACGGGGGCCCGCACAAGCGGUGGAGCAUGUGGUUUAAUUCGAUGCAAUGUGAAGAAUUUUACCAGCCCUUGAUAUUUAGAGAAUUCGUUAGAGAUAGUUUAGUGUUUUUGGGAAUUUUGUGAUAGGUGUUGUAUGGCUGUCGUCAGCUCGUGUUGUGAGAUGUUGGGUUAAGUUUUGUAACGAGCGCAACCCUUACCCUUAGUUGUUAGCAGGUAAUGCUGAGAACUUUAAGGGGAUUGCCGGUGAUAAACCGGAGGAAGGUGGGGAUGACGUCAAGUCAUUAUGGCCCUUAUGGGCUGGGUUAUACACGUGCUACAAUGGCCGGUAUAGAGGGUUGUUAAUUUGUGAGGGGGAGUUAAUUUUAGAAAACCGGUCGUAGUCCGGAUCGCAGUCUGUAAUUUGACUGCGUGAAGUCGGAAUCGCUAGUAAUCGCGAAUUAGAAUGUCGCGGUGAAUACGUUCCCGGGCCUUGUAUAUAUUGCCCGUCACACCAUGGGAGUGGGUUGCAAAAGAAGUGGGUAGUCUAACCUUUGGGGAGACGCUCACCACUUUGUGAUUCAUGACUGGGGUGAAGUUGAAAUAAGGUA
rnacentral:rRNA from 1 species